CGCCCAAAAGCUAGCCCGCCCCAUCACAACCAACAAAUCACUAUUUAUAAACCCUCACGCACUAAAAAUGCUCAAACAAACCAUUUUACCAUCCUAGUAUGGGAGACAGAAAAGAGC
rnacentral:rRNA from 1 species